UACGAAGGGUGCUAGCGUUGUUCGGAAUUACUGGGCGUAAAGGGCGCGUAGGCUGUCUUACAAGUUGGGUGUGAAAGCCCAGGGCUCAACCCUGGAAUUGCACUCAAAACUGUUAGACUUGAAUUCGGUAGAGGUUAGUGGAAUUCCCAGUGUAGAGGUGAAAUUCGUAGAUAUUGGGAAGAAUAUCCGUGGCGAAGGCGGCUAACUGGACCGACAUUGACGCUGAGGCGCGAAAGCGUGGGGAUCAAACAGG
rnacentral:rRNA from 1 species